rnacentral:lncRNA from 1 species
UGGACUGCUAGCCUCUCCGGAUGAGCCAUGUAAGUCUCCUCUUCUCCUUCACUGUCGACUAUGUGUCCCGCUAGAGCGAUUGAUCGCAAAUGUGGAAAUCCUGCCAUUGGAAGAACUGGCACUGCCUUCUUGUUCAGCCAGUCGUGCAUUUCUAGCCCGACGUUUUGGUGCCAGAAUGUGCUGCCGAAAAUUCCUGAGAAAACAUUGCAUUCAUCGCAGGGACAGCUUUCAGUGCGUGGUAUCGCUCGAGCGAUUGAGCGCAGUAGUCUGUGUCGCCACGGCAUUGAUUCUUCUUUAGGAGGACUUAUCGGCACGAUGGUGUUCUUUCCCAGGAUUUUCAUAGAAAUCUGUAGAAAAACGUAGAGAUGUAAUUCUCAGUUGGUAGAUGGCUAACGCAAAAAACUACUUACAGGGAUGAGAGGCAGAGUCAACUUCACGAGCGCUGAUGGAACCAAGUUGAAGAACAUGGACGAGUUUGUGCAAACUAGCGAUGCGAUCGACGAUGGAGGUAUGUGUCCACCCAUCAAGCUCAUGUGAAUUGAUAGUCCUCCUAUGCAGUGAGCAAUAACGUGUGCCGCUAUCUGCUUUUUCUUGACUUGGUUUAUCUUCGCAAACGCUGCAAAUUUUAGCGAUUAAAAUUUUCCUCCUUGAAAAAACAGGAACAUACCAGAUGGAAUGUCGAAGUGAGCAAUAUCGUCGAAAGUGAAGGAAUAUUUUGCUGGAUGCAGUGGAUGCAAACGUGUUUGCAGCAGCCAAGGUUCGUAAUCAUUCUGUAUCAGCGUUCGUAUGAUGUCAUUACUUUCCGUAGGAAGGCAGAAGCUCUCCGUGGAGUAACCAUUGAGCAACAAAACCACUCUGGAGUUGUGGCUCUCCGCAGCAUCUUUUGAGCACCAUUGCUUGCAGGUAAUGUGGACACCGUCCUCUACAGCCAUCCAUCAUGCUUGUGUCAGAAUGACUGCCUGUUAAGAAAUUUGUUUCGUACCUGUCACGAGUUCGUGAAGCACGUAGUUUGGAUAGUUGUUUGUCAAGUUUUGUUUCCUGGUCACCUUCUCUGUUGGUGUCCUUGGUGUUCUCAUCAAGUACGUCCUAGCAAGUGUUUCCAUCAGCCGUCCUACAAACUCCCGCUUCCUUGGUCCUCGCAAGGAUAUUAGCGACUUAAGUAACUCGGGAAGAGUUACUCGCAACUUUCCUUUCAGGACAACCGGUUUUGAUGACUCCUGCUGAGUUCGAACAACGACAUGUAGCGUGGUCGACUCAUAGAAGCACUUUAAGCCGCUCAUGAAUGGUCUCAUCUCUUUCCGUCCGUCCAAAGUAUACCUUCACAAACCAUAGCAUGUUUUGCAUGAGACCAGACCAGAUUUAGAGGAGGAAGGAAAACUUACCUGGUGCCCGUGUUUGUUGACAGAAGCAGGUGAUAAUGCAUAUACUGAGUGAAAGGAGUUUUUCCAUCGACAUGGCACAUAUUUACGUAUCCGUCAACCACAUAUAGAGGACCUGGUUCCAGCGAAGGAAUAAGAACAUCGCCUCCAACAUAUCCACGCAGGAGAGGAUGACUAUCUCCAAACAAACGAUUGCUUGCAGGCGUAUCUUUGUCUUGUCCCAUAUGCAUCACCAGUCGCAGUGUGCAAGGAGCUCCUCCAAUAUUUCCUUUCAAUUUUUCGUGGAUAAUGACAUAGCUGCACUGCAUUUCGGAAGCAAGUCGCGAGUUGAGGUAUGUUCUUGAUUUUAAAUUACUAAGAUCGCCAGUAAAUACUUUGUGCUGAAACUUUUGUGACAGGUAGUUCUGCGCAUCGUUGACAAUGCCAUUCGCAACUCUCUCUGCCACUAUUGAGAUCGUGCUGACCGGAUUCAGUCCAACUGAGCAUGGAAUCAAAGAGGCGUCGCAAACGUACAGGCCUGCGUGAACUUUUGUUGUCUUCCUGAACUGACCGUUGCUCGUCUCAGGGAAGAAAAUCUGGCCGUUUGCGUUUGCCACGCCGGUGGAUGAGUCUGUUGCUGCGUUGCAACCUCCCAAAAGAUGAACGGCAGCACUUCUGAAGCGACUCAUGUACAGCUUCCCACGAAGGCGAGCUGCCAACUUUUCAGCGGUCCGAAGCUUAUGAUGAAAAAGUAAGUCCUUCGCUGCACUGUAUGCCACUCUUCCUGUUACCUUGUCUAGCUUGAUUUGCCCGUCAGCAGCGUCAUAUCCCAUCAUAUUCAAUACCAGAGCUUGGCUGUUCUGCGUUCCUGUCCAUUGUUUGACUUGUUCCCAGAUACCAGUGAGAAACCCGUAGUCCCCUAGGCCAUAAGUAAUGACUCCCCUUAGUAGAAAUUCUGGAGCAGCUUGAGGAAUACAAGAGCCCUGAAAGAGGUGUUUAGCUUGAUAUAAGCUUAUUUCACUCAUAUUACCUGUAUUGUAAAGCCAAGUGAUGAUGUAUGUGAACUUGAUAUGACUGGACCAGGACGUAGCUGCAUGGGAGUCCUUGAGAAAUCUUCUUCUCGAAGUCCUUGAGCUUGAGUCUGUGCGGCUGUGCCUGUUAUGUAAGCUAUAUUAUUUCCAUUGCAGCUAACUCCGUAUCCCAACUGUUGGGACAGUUGUAGGCCUCGCUCUUUUGAUCGUAAGAGGAUCCCAUUCGUGCCAAGAACACCAGCUGAAGAAAGAAGGGGCAGCAAAUAUUAGCAACGAAAGUUUCGAGCUUCUACAAGAUAGUACCGGCUACGAUGAUGUAGUCUGCCGAAAUAUAAUCCACUUCAUUCAGGUGCACACGCCAUCUUCUUGUAGCUACUGAUUUGCAAUUUGCUCCAUCAUUGCAGGGUUGACAACAGAAUUCUUCUGAGUUCUCGGUGAUGAACAUCACUUCCGUCUGCGUGCAAAUUCUGGCUCCGGCCUGCACAUGCGAUUUCCGUAAGAAGAUGUGCCUUCAUAUUUGGCUGGAAAAGUACCUGUGCGGCUAGUUCGAGGUAAUUUUUGUCUGUUGAGCUCUUUGCGUUGUACCUGCAUCCUGAUAGACAGUUACCGCAUGAAAUGCAUUCGUUUUGUGUAACUCCAGCAGCAUUCUUCUUCUGAUUGAAACUUAUUGUCAACUUCAUGGAAUCUCUUGCUGCGUCCUCUAUCUCGUUUGCAAUUUUGUCUAGCACUUUUGAUUUUGGAGCCUCGUGCAGGAUUUCUUCAGGCUCCAGAAUGCUGUGAGAUUUUGCUUCGUAUAGAUCCCAGUCUUCCUGCCACUCGCUUGGCCAGUUUGGAUGCAUUCGUGCUCUUUUCGGUGUGGGCACGAUAAUUCCAGCAUUCACUAGCGAGCCUCCUCCCAGUCCUGACCCAACUAGAGCGACAGAGUCUCCGUGGCUGUGCACCUGUAAACAUGGACUAACUGUGUGUAUAUAUGUUUUAACAGGAGAAGUACAAUGCUAUCCAGUAACUCACCUCAUAGAGUGCAUCCUUCUUCCCAAUGCUUCCAAAUGGAGUAAGAAAACGCGUGCUGGAAAGCAAUUUCCAGGGCGUUGCUGGAAACUGGUGAGGCUCCCAUCGUCUUCCUUUCUCGAGAAUGCACACACGGAUUCCUGCUUCUGCGAGUCGAUAUGCAGCAAUCGAUCCUCCAUAGCCAGAUCCAACAACAACCGCGUCGUACCCGACUUGGAUGGUACGUUCCACUUGCGUUUGAGACAUAACUCGUCUCACUUUUGUUCUCCCCUCUUUGUUCUCCCCUCUUACAGAAAUUCACCCUCGUCGAGAUGUUCUAGGGACAAAGAACUGCCUAUCAAGGUACCAUCCUUCAGCACAACACGCAUACAAAUUUGACGUUGAAUUUGUUUCGUUUACUUUUUUAUUUUUUGGUAGACUUUAACAUCCUCACUUUAAUAUGAUUAGCACUAGUCCUUACUAUAUUGUUAGGAUCGGACUCACUCCUUUAAAGAAAAAAAAUUAAGAUUGAGGAGAAAGUGAGAAAUAAAGUGGAAGAGAAAAAAAAAAUAGCAAUUGUUAAAAGGAAAUAAGAAAAAAAAAUUGCUCAAACUUUUUGUUAUAAAAAAAACACAAAAAUCCUAUAUAACAAGGCUUAUAAAAUACUUUGGCAAAAAUUAAAGAGAUUGGUUAAACCUUGUUGAUACUAAACUAUGGGAAGAUAAGUGGACUUUUAAGACUGUUCAUUCAUGAAGGAAAAAAAAAAACUCCUCAACAACAAUAGUAAAAUAAAAAUUCUUAAUUGCUAAACCACUAGUCAACAUGCAUUGCUAUCAUCCGAGUCAAAAAAAUGAGCUAGAAAAACUCACUAUACUCCAGUGGCGACAAACUCCAGCACUAACUGGCAAGUGCAGCUAAUGAUAAGUCUAACAUGCUCUCUCUUGUUCUAAUUGAGGUAUGGAGACAUUGGAUUGGUUUGACAAGCACCACCACUUGAUGCAGCCAUAUAGUGGUCAUAAGUUCCCAAAUAGCAUGGAAUUGGAAGCACACAAAAGGGUUUAAAGGAUGCUCUUUCUUAGCUAACAAUGUAAUAGUUUCAGAUGAUGGGGCUUGCUCUCACGGACAGUGUAAUGGAGCAGUGCAUCCUCCCUGAUUUGUUUGCAUCAAAUCACAAGUUGUGAUCACCAUUGUACUGGCAGAUUCAAGGGUUUACCAAGCAGAGCAAGGCGAUCGCGAGCAGCGCCAUCAGGAUGAAGACAACGCCGCCGCACGCGCCAUUCCUACCAGCGAUCAGCGACUCCUCCCACGGCAGUAUCGCAUUCUUCUGGAGGUUAUCGCUCGGAUGGCUUCUCCCGGCGGAUUUGAGGCGCUCCAGCACCAGCGGGAACACGUCCCCGUGCGAAUGCUCUCCGAUCCACAGGUCGGAGUGUCCGUAGUCUUGAAUCACGAUUCGAGCGUGGCUGAGUCCAGGGUGAUGCCGCUUCAUGAAUCCGUGCGCGCGGAGAGAGGUCUCUGGAGUGACGAGAAUGGGGCGGCCGCCGGAGAUAUACGUGGUGUGGACUGCUAGCCUCUCCGGAUGAGCCAUGUAAGUCUCGUUUUUCCCCUCGUUGUCUACUACGUGUCCCGCGAGAACGAUUUUACGUGCGUGUGGCAAUGCUGCCAUUGAUAGAGUUUGCACUGCCUGCUUGGUCAACCAGUUGUGCGUUUCCAGUCUGACUUUCUCGUGCCAGAAUGUGUUGCCGAAUAUUCCUGAGAAAACAUUGCAUUCGUCACAGUGGCAGCGCUCCGUGCGUGGUAUCGCUCGAGCAAUUGCGCGGAGUAGCUUGUGUCGCCACGACAUCGGUUCUUCUUGCGGAGGACUUAUUGGUAUGACGAGCUUCUUUCCCAGGAUUGUCAUAGAAAUCUGUAGUAGAUAAACAACAAGACGUAAGUCUCCUUUUUUUUAUGGCUAACGCAAAAACUACUUACAGGAAUGAGAGGCAGAGUCAACUUGACGAGCGCUGAUGGAACCAAGUUGAAGAACAUGGACGAGUUUGUGCAAAUCAGUGAUGCUAUCGACGAUGGAGGUAUGUAUCCACCCAUCAAGCUCAUGUGAAUUGAGAGUCCCCCCAUGCAAUGAGCAAUAACGUGUGCUGCUACCGGCUUUCUCUUGACGUGGCUCAUCUUUGCAAAUGCUGUAAAAUUUUCCAGCAUUAAACUUUCUCGGUUUUUGACAGAGUGCACAUACCGGCUGGAAUGUCGAACCGAGCGACAUCAUCGAAAGUGAAAGAAGUUGGGGUCGGAUGCGAUGGAUGGAAACGUGUUUGCAAGAGCCAAGGUUCAUAGUCAUUCUCUAUAAGUGUUCUUACGAUGUCGUGGUUUUCCGUAGGGACACAGAAACUCUCUGUGGCAUAACCAUUGAGAAGCAAAACAAUUUUGAAGUUCUCAUCUUGAGCAGCACCCUUCGAGCACCAUUGCUUGCAGGUAAUGCGGGCACCAUCUCCUGCACAAGAAAUCUGUCACUGCCUGCGUAAAAGAGUCAAGUCUGUUUUUACCUGUGGCAAUCUCAUGAAGCACAUAGCUUGGAUAGUUUUCGGUCGAGUCUUCUGGUUUUGCCAUUUCCCGGCUUGUCGCUCUCGGUGUUCUCAUCAAGUACGUCCUAGCAAGUGUUUCCAGGAGUCGUCCUACAAACUCCCGCUUCCUUGGCCCUCGUAACAAUAUUAGGGACUUAAGUAACUCGGGAAGAGUUACCCGCACUUUUCCUUUCAAGGCAAUCGGUCUUGGUGAGUCCUGCUGAGCUCGAAACAACGAUAUGUAGUGUGGUUGCAUCAGAGUAACACAUUAGGCCGCUCAUGAAUGGUCGCAUCUCUUUCCUUCCGUCCAAGGUAUACCUUCAGAAACCAUAGUUUUCAAUGAGAUCAGAUUGACAGAAGAAAGGAUAACUUACCUGGUGCCUGUGUUUGUUGACAG